AACGCAUAUUGCACUCUGUUUCGGCAGAGUAUGCCUGUUUGAGAAUCUAUAGUUUUUCUUAUCCUUUGUUGCUUUUCUCUCGGGAUUAGUGACUCUGGGUAGAUUUGAGAUAUGAAUGCGUGCAUUCUCUCUUGAAAUAGAUUGCUGCCUUUGAUGGUGACUUUUUGUGUUUGAAUAGAACUUUGUUCUCGAUUACGCUUAGAGGAGCUGUCGUUUUGGUAGUCCAUAACCUUGAGGCUUUUCUCUGGGAAAGUCUGAACCAUGGUCUCAAAUCAGGUAGGAGGACCCGCUGAACUUAA
rnacentral:misc_RNA from 1 species